rnacentral:rRNA from 1 species
AGAGUUUGAUCCUGGCUCAGAUUGAACGCUGGCGGCAUGCUUUACACAUGCAAGUCGGACGGCAGCACAGAGAAGCUUGCUUCUUGGGUGGCGAGUGGCGAACGGGUGAGUAACAUAUCGGAACGUACCGAGUAAUGGGGAAUAACUAAUCGAAAGAUUAGCUAAUACCGCAUAUUCUCUGAGGAGGAAAGCAGGGGACCUUCGGGCCUUGCGUUAUUCGAGCGGCCGAUAUCUGAUUAGCUAGUUGGUGGGGUAAAGGCCUACCAAGGCGACGAUCAGUAGCGGGUCUGAGAGGAUGAUCCGCCACACUGGGACUGAGACACGGCCCAGACUCCUACGGGAGGCAGCAGUGGGGAAUUUUGGACAAUGGGCGCAAGCCUGAUCCAGCCAUGCCGCGUGUCUGAAGAAGGCCUUCGGGUUGUAAAGGACUUUUGUCAGGGAAGAAAAGGCUGUUGCUAAUACCGACAGCUGAUGACGGUACCUGAAGAAUAAGCACCGGCUAACUACGUGCCAGCAGCCGCGGUAAUACGUAGGGUGCGAGCGUUAAUCGGAAUUACUGGGCGUAAAGCGAGCGCAGACGGUUACUUAAGCAGGAUGUGAAAUCCCCGGGCUCAACCUGGGAACUGCGUUCUGAACUGGGUGACUAGAGUGUGUCAGAGGGAGGUAGAAUUCCACGUGUAGCAGUGAAAUGCGUAGAGAUGUGGAGGAAUACCGAUGGCGAAGGCAGCCUCCUGGGAUAACACUGACGUUCAUGCUCGAAAGCGUGGGUAGCAAACAGGAUUAGAUACCCUGGUAGUCCAA